rnacentral:rRNA from 1 species
UACGUAGGGCGCAAGCGUUGUCCGGAAUUAUUGGGCGUAAAGAGCUCGUAGGCGGUUUGCCGCGUCUGCCGUGAAAGCCCGGGGCUCAACCCCGGGUCUGCGGUGGGUACGGGCAGACUGGAGUGCAGUAGGGGAGACUGGAAUUCCUGGUGUAGCGGUGAAAUGCGCAGAUAUCAGGAGGAACACCCGUGGCUAAGGCGGUUCUCUAGUACGGUACUGACGCUGAGACGCGAAAGCGUGGGGAGCGAACAGG